rnacentral:rRNA from 1 species
GACGAACGCUGGCGGCGUGCUUAACACAUGCAAGUCGAGCGGUAAGGCCCUUUCGGGGGUACACGAGCGGCGAACGGGUGAGUAACACGUGGGUGACCUGCCCUCAGCUCUGGGAUAAGCCUGGGAAACCGGGCCUAAUACCGGAUAUGACUCCAUGACGCAUGUUGUGGGGUGGAAAGCCUUGUGCGGCUGAGGAUGGGCCCGCGGCCUAUCAGCUUGUUGGUGGGGUGANGGCCUACCAAGGCGACGACGGGUAGCCGGCCUGAGAGGGCGACCGGCCACACUGGGACUGAGACACGGCCCAGACUCCUACGGGAGGCAGCAGUGGGGAAUCUUGCGCAAUGGGCGAAAGCCUGACGCAGCGACGCCGCGUGAGGGAUGAC